rnacentral:rRNA from 1 species
AACAUCUAAGUACCCCGAGGAAAAGAAAUCAACCGAGAUUCCGAAAGUAGCGGCGAGCGAAAUUGGACUAGCCCUUAAGCUUUACACGCGUUAGACGAACGGUCUGGAAAGUCCGACGAUACAGGGUGAUAGUCCCGUAGUUGACGACGUGUGUUCAGUGAAAUCGAGUAGGGCGGGACACGUGAUAUCCUGUCUGAAUAUGGGGGGACCAUCCUCCAAGGCUAAAUACUACUGACUGACCGAUAGUGAACCAGUACCGUGAGGGAAAGGCGAAAAGAACCCCUGUGAGGGGAGUGAAAUAGAACCUGAAACCGUGUACGUACAAGCAGUAGGAGCAGGCUUUGUCCUGUGACUGCGUACCUUUUGUAUAAUGGGUCAGCGACUUAUAUUCAGUGGCAAGGUUAACCAUCUAGGGGAGCCGUAGGGAA